GGGUUGUGAGGUUAAGCGACUAAGCGUACACGGUGGAUGCCCUGGCAGUCAGAGGCGAUGAAGGACGUGCUAAUCUGCGAUAAGCGUCGGUAAGGUGAUAUGAACCGUUAUAACCGGCGAUUUCCGAAUGGGGAAACCCAGUGUGAUUCGUCACACUAUCAUUAACUGAAUCCAUAGGUUAAUGAGGCGAACCGGGGGAACUGAAACAUCUAAGUACCCCGAGGAAAAGAAAUCAACCGAGAUUCCCCCAGUAGCGGCGAGCGAACGGGGAGCAGCCCAGAGCCUGAAUCAGUGUGUGUGUUAGUGGAAGCGUCUGGAAAGGCGCGCGAUACAGGGUGACAGCCCCGUACACAAAAAUGCACAUACUGUGAGCUCGAUGAGUAGGGCGGGACACGUGGUAUCCUGUCUGAAUAUGGGGGGACCAUCCUCCAAGGCUAAAUACUCCUGACUGACCGAUAGUGAACCAGUACCGUGAGGGAAAGGCGAAAAGAACCCCGGCGAGGGGAGUGAAAAAGAACCUGAAACCGUGUACGUACAAGCAGUGGGAGCACGCUUAGGCGUGUGACUGCGUACCUUUUGUAUAAUGGGUCAGCGACUUAUAUUCUGUAGCAAGGUUAACCGAAUAGGGGAGCCGAAGGGAAACCGAGUCUUAACUGGGCGUUAAGUUGCAGGGUAUAGACCCGAAACCCGGUGAUCUAGCCAUGGGCAGGUUGAAGGUUGGGUAACACUAACUGGAGGACCGAACCGACUAAUGUUGAAAAAUUAGCGGAUGACUUGUGGCUGGGGGUGAAAGGCCAAUCAAACCGGGAGAUAGCUGGUUCUCCCCGAAAGCUAUUUAGGUAGCGCCUCGUGAAUUCAUCUCCGGGGGUAGAGCACUGUUUCGGCAAGGGGGUCAUCCCGACUUACCAACCCGAUGCAAACUGCGAAUACCGGAGAAUGUUAUCACGGGAGACACACGGCGGGUGCUAACGUCCGUCGUGAAGAGGGAAACAACCCAGACCGCCAGCUAAGGUCCCAAAGUCAUGGUUAAGUGGGAAACGAUGUGGGAAGGCCCAGACAGCCAGGAUGUUGGCUUAGAAGCAGCCAUCAUUUAAAGAAAGCGUAAUAGCUCACUGGUCGAGUCGGCCUGCGCGGAAGAUGUAACGGGGCUAAACCAUGCACCGAAGCUGCGGCAGCGACGCUUAUGCGUUGUUGGGUAGGGGAGCGUUCUGUAAGCCUGCGAAGGUGUGCUGUGAGGCAUGCUGGAGGUAUCAGAAGUGCGAAUGCUGACAUAAGUAACGAUAAAGCGGGUGAAAAGCCCGCUCGCCGGAAGACCAAGGGUUCCUGUCCAACGUUAAUCGGGGCAGGGUGAGUCGACCCCUAAGGCGAGGCCGAAAGGCGUAGUCGAUGGGAAACAGGUUAAUAUUCCUGUACUUGGUGUUACUGCGAAGGGGGGACGGAGAAGGCUAUGUUGGCCGGGCGACGGUUGUCCCGGUUUAAGCGGGUAGGCUGGUUUUCCAGGCAAAUCCGGAAAAUCAAGGCUGAGGCGUGAUGACGAGGCACUACGGUGCUGAAGCAACAAAUGCCCUGCUUCCAGGAAAAGCCUCUAAGCAUCAGGUAACAUCAAAUCGUACCCCAAACCGACACAGGUGGUCAGGUAGAGAAUACCAAGGCGCUUGAGAGAACUCGGGUGAAGGAACUAGGCAAAAUGGUGCCGUAACUUCGGGAGAAGGCACGCUGAUAUGUAGGUGAAGUCCCUCGCGGAUGGAGCUGAAAUCAGUCGAAGAUACCAGCUGGCUGCAACUGUUUAUUAAAAACACAGCACUGUGCAAACACGAAAGUGGACGUAUACGGUGUGACGCCUGCCCGGUGCCGGAAGGUUAAUUGAUGGGGUUAGCGCAAGCGAAGCUCUUGAUCGAAGCCCCGGUAAACGGCGGCCGUAACUAUAACGGUCCUAAGGUAGCGAAAUUCCUUGUCGGGUAAGUUCCGACCUGCACGAAUGGCGUAAUGAUGGCCAGGCUGUCUCCACCCGAGACUCAGUGAAAUUGAACUCGCUGUGAAGAUGCAGUGUACCCGCGGCAAGACGGAAAGACCCCGUGAACCUUUACUAUAGCUUGACACUGAACAUUGAGCCUUGAUGUGUAGGAUAGGUGGGAGGCUUUGAAGUGUGGACGCCAGUCUGCAUGGAGCCGACCUUGAAAUACCACCCUUUAAUGUUUGAUGUUCUAACGUUGACCCGUAAUCCGGGUUGCGGACAGUGUCUGGUGGGUAGUUUGACUGGGGCGGUCUCCUCCUAAAGAGUAACGGAGGAGCACGAAGGUUGGCUAAUCCUGGUCGGACAUCAGGAGGUUAGUGCAAUGGCAUAAGCCAGCUUGACUGCGAGCGUGACGGCGCGAGCAGGUGCGAAAGCAGGUCAUAGUGAUCCGGUGGUUCUGAAUGGAAGGGCCAUCGCUCAACGGAUAAAAGGUACUCCGGGGAUAACAGGCUGAUACCGCCCAAGAGUUCAUAUCGACGGCGGUGUUUGGCACCUCGAUGUCGGCUCAUCACAUCCUGGGGCUGAAGUAGGUCCCAAGGGUAUGGCUGUUCGCCAUUUAAAGUGGUACGCGAGCUGGGUUUAGAACGUCGUGAGACAGUUCGGUCCCUAUCUGCCGUGGGCGCUGGAGAACUGAGGGGGGCUGCUCCUAGUACGAGAGGACCGGAGUGGACGCAUCACUGGUGUUCGGGUUGUCAUGCCAAUGGCACUGCCCGGUAGCUAAAUGCGGAAGAGAUAAGUGCUGAAAGCAUCUAAGCACGAAACUUGCCCCGAGAUGAGUUCUCCCUGACCCUUUAAGGGUCCUGAAGGAACGUUGAAGACGACGACGUUGAUAGGCCGGGUGUGUAAGCGCAGCGAUGCGUUGAGCUAACCGGUACUAAUGAACCGUGAGGCUUAACCUUACAACGCCGAAGGUGUUU
rnacentral:rRNA from 1 species